GACGAACGCUGGCGGCGUGCUUAACACAUGCCAGUCACGGGGGCCCGCAAGGGUAACCGGCGAACGGGUGCGUAACACGUGAGCAAUCUGCCGUCCACUGGGGGAUAGCCGGCCCAACGGCCGGGUAAUACCGCAUACGCUUGCCGGGUGGCAUCACUUGGCAAGGAAACCUCCGGGGGUGGACGAGGAGCUCGCGGCCUAUCAGCUAGUUGGUGGGGUCACGGCCCACCAAGGCGAUGACGGGUAGCUGGUCUGAGAGGAUGGCCAGCCACAUUGGGACUGAGUUACGGCCCAGACUCCUACGGGAGGCAGCAGGGGGGAAUAUUGCGCAAUGGCCGCAAGGCUGACGCAGCGGCGCCGCGUGGGGGAUGAAGCAUUUCGGUGUGUAAACCCCUGUUGCCCGGGACGAACCUCCCCUUUCGAGGGGACUGACGGUACCGGGUGAGGAAGCACCGGCUAACUCCGUG
rnacentral:rRNA from 1 species